UACGGGGGGGGUAAGCGUUGUUCGGAAUUACUGGGCGUAAGGGGCUCGUAGGCGGCCAACUAAGUCAUACGUGAAAUCCCUCAGCUUAACUGGGGAACUGCGUCUGAUACUGGAUGGCUUGAGUUUGGGAGAGGGAUGCGGAAUUCCAGGUGUAGCGGUGAAAUGCGUAGAUAUCGGGAGGAACACCAGUGGCGAAGGCGGCUUUCUGGUCUGUAACUGACGCUGAGGCGCGAAAGCGUGGGGAGCAAACAGG
rnacentral:rRNA from 1 species